AGCCUGACAUCCACACAACAACAGCUAUCACGACACAACGUCCCUAACUAUUAUACCGGCGAUAGUACACUUUGCUCCCUAACUUUUCACGCAGAGUCACAUAUCACAAGGAGUAUAUACUUCUGCCGUUCCAGUGAAUGAUUUUGUAACAUCAAUCUGUGUUUAUAGAGAGUGCUUUUGCUUGUAUUCGUCAGAAAAGUCGAGGUAUAUAAUAUAGUCAUGUCUGCUUUAGGACCAGGACGGGGAUCUGCAUUAGGACCAGGACGGGGAUCUGCAUUGGGUAUGGGGUCUGCUCUCGGCGGCCAGAACCCUCAAGAUGAGGAGGAUAAGAUGGAACGACCCGUGAUCACCGACAAGGACGUCGAAGAAGCCGGCGAGGGUCUCGUAGCCAACCCAUUCACCAUCUCAGAAUCGUUCAACAGACUCGAAGAUGGAGAUGCUCCCCAUAUCUUCAGUGGCGGUGCCAAGGGCAGCGAGACUGUUUUUAAGAAGGAUGUGAGGGAAGCCCAACCGGUCAAGACCCUAAAGAACGUUCCACAGGGCCAUUGCGUCGGCUGUGGGAAAGAAAUCACAGGAAAGUAUACAAAGAUUCGCGACCAUGGAUUCCAUCACGAUUGCUUCAAUUGCGCCGUCUGCGGUAAAAAUUUGAGAGGAAUUGGCUAUUAUGAAGUUCGCGGAGAGAUAUACUGCAAGAAAGACCGACCCAUGUGAAAUGCCCACAUAAGCAUGAUGCAUGAAACCGGUGUGAGAGGAGUAUAAUGUACAGUAAAGGUUAUUUCGAGGUCAAAGGCAACUUUUACUGCAAGCAACACACACCGGUGUGAAGCAGUUCUACCGAUUUUCAUCACAAAAGCUUGCAAUUUUGACAAUAUUAGAAACUAUACAGCACUGCAUCUAAAAGAAAAUAGUUUAUAUACGAAUACCUGUAUCUUUUGUAUGGACUGUAAUAUCUCCUUUUUUCGACUAUGUAUCAUAUUAAAUCAAAAUUAGAUCGUAGUUUCAAUGAACAAAGCUACUGGAAAGUUGUUAAUAACAAUUGAAACAUUGAAACAAGUUUCUAAUUUUAUUUCCGUGUAAAAUAUUGACAUUAUUUUGUUUAUUUGACUCGGGGGCGGAUACCGUAGGAAACGAAACAGAGAAAAACAAAAGAAAAGUAAAAAGAAAAUACUAAAGAAAAAAGAGAGAAGAAGCCAAUUAUUCUGUAAUUCUAAUGAAAUUGAGAGGGCGAGCCCACAAUAUAGGCCCAUAAUUAUGCUAUAUCGAGGCAAUUCAGAUUUCAGUACAUU